rnacentral:rRNA from 1 species
AUUGAACGCUGGCGGCAGGCUUAACACAUGCAAGUCGAGCGGGGAAAGGUAGCUUGCUACCUAACCUAGCGGCGGACGGGUGAGUAAUGCUUAGGAAUCUGCCUAUUAGUGGGGGACAACAUCUCGAAAGGGAUGCUAAUACCGCAUACGUCCUACGGGAGAAAGCAGGGGACCUUCGGGCCUUGCGCUAAUAGAUGAGCCUAAGUCGGAUUAGCUAGUUGGUGGGGUAAAGGCCUACCAAGGCGACGAUCUGUAGCGGGUCUGAGAGGAUGAUCCGCCACACUGGGACUGAGACACGGCCCAGACUCCUACGGGAGGCAGCAGUGGGGAAUAUUGGACAAUGGGGGGAACCCUGAUCCAGCCAUGCCGCGUGUGUGAAGAAGGCCUUUUGGUUGUAAAGCACUUUAAGCGAGGAGGAGGCUACCGAGAUUAAUACUCUUGGAUAGUGGACGUUACUCGCAGAAUAAGCACCGGCUAACUCUGUG